GUAGGAAGCCUUUUCUCAGUUUUUCAGCAAAAUCUUCAUGGCUGCAGUCUGAAAUGAUUAUUUCUUGUUCUGCUUGUGGUGGACUUGGAGAAUACUGAUCCGAAGCCUAACCAACGCAUCUUUCUGUCUCUGGCUGUUUCCCCACCAGUGCGAGUCCUCUUCUGUGCUGCUGCUUUUCUUCAGACUCGCAGCAUCUCAUGCAGCCUGCUGAGAGUUCCUGUGAAAGAAGCAGCAGUGAGAACUCACUGGUAGUGGCAUGCUCUUUCAGUUACUACACUACUACUCAGGUGGAAGAUCUGAGGACUAAGUUUGCUGUUUGAAAGAGAACUUCAUCAGAAAACAAAGACACCAAGGCACAGACUAACAAAAUAGGACAGUGCGGAGAAAACUUGGUAAUAUACAUACAUCUAUUAACAUCCACAUAAAGUGAAACUGAGCUGAUGUCGCUUAUGAUGGUAAUAUCAAUCUACCAGCAUACAUAUACACCUAAAUAUAAUAUUUAUACAUACAUACUUAUGUAUUUGUGCUAAUUUAUUCAUUCAUACUGGUAUUGUUCAAGCUGUAUCCUCCUGGAAGGGGACUCAAGGGACAAAUGCUUUCAUUCUCAAUCUCUGUUGCCCAGCUGUUCUCUGUCUGGGAAGUGAUGAUGGCUCUGCACGGCUGUAGAAGUGAGUAGUUUUGAGUUCAAAGCUGCCAGUGGCUACAGGGUUUGUACUGUAUUUGAGGUGGGUACAUCUCAUGUUUUUCUACUAUUUGAAUGCCUGUGAAUCCAUGUUUAUUUUUAAGUUUCCAAAAAAGAUAAUCUCUUCUCUUUCUCCAUGACUGCUCAAAACAGACACAAUGGUAACUCUACUUCUGUGUCAGAAGCAUGAGGUCAAGGGAGGGCCUUGGCUUUGUAUCCCCAGUAAAGCACCAGGUAAACCUGACAGUAUUGAGAACUUUCCUGAAUCUCAAUCUCAAUCUGAAUCUCAAACUCAAGCUAUAACAAAUGCAACAGAGCACCAUGAGGCCUUGCGUCUCCCAGGGGGAAUAGUCCAGAGGACUGAGGCUGGAAAGCUACAACGAUGUACCUAA
rnacentral:lncRNA from 1 species